rnacentral:rRNA from 1 species
AUUGAACGCUGGCGGCAGGCCUAACACAUGCAAGUCGAGCGGAACGGCGGACGGGCGAGUAAUUCCUAGGAAGCUGCCUGGUUGUAGGCGAUAACUCCCGGAUACAGGCGCUAAGACCACCUACAUUCAGACGAGCUUAGGCCGGAUUUGCUAGCUGGUGGGGUAAAGGCCUACCAAGGCGACGAUCCGUACCUGGUCUGAGAGGAUGAUCAGGCACACUGGAACUGAGAAACGGUCCAGACUCCUACGGGAGGCAGCAGGGGGGAAUAUUGGACAAUGGGCGAAAGCCUGAUCCAGCCAUGCCGCGUGUGUGAAGAAGGUCUUCGGAUUGUAAAGCACUUUAAGUUGGGAGGCGUUACCCACAGAAGAAGCACCGGCUAACUUCGUGCCAGCAGCCGCGGUAAUUC